rnacentral:tRNA from 1 species
AAUAGAGUGCCUGAAAUUUAAAGGGUUAUCUUGAUAGGAUAAAUAAUGUACUGUAAUACCUCUGUUA